UAGGGAAUCUUCCGCAAUGGACGAAAGUCUGACGGAGCAACGCCGCGUGAGUGAUGAAGGUUUUCGGAUCGUAAAACUCUGUUGUUAGGGAAGAACAAGUACAAGAGUAACUGCUUGUACCUUGGACGGUACCUAACCAGAAAGCCACGGCUAACUACGUG
rnacentral:rRNA from 1 species